rnacentral:tRNA from 1 species
GGGUGCGUAGCUCAGAGGAAGAGCGUCUGCCUUACGAGCAGAAGGUCGUAGGUUCGAGUCCUGCCGCACCCA